rnacentral:rRNA from 1 species
UACGAAGGGGGCGAGCGUUGUUCGGAAUUACUGGGCGUAAAGGGCGCGUAGGCGGCCGAUCAAGUUAGAUGUGAAAGUCCUGGGCUUAACCUCGGGCGUGCGAUGGAUACUGCCGGGCUAGAGGGUGGUAGAGGCGAGUGGAAUUCCCGGUGUAGCGGUGAAAUGCGCAGAUAUCGGGAGGAACACCAGUAGCGAAGGCGGCUCGCUGGGCCACACCUGACGCUGAGACGCGAAAGCUAGGGGAGCGAACAGG